CCUACGGGAGGCAGCAGUAGGGAAUAUUGCUCAAUGGGGGAAACCCUGAAGCAGCAACGCCGCGUGGAGGAUGAAGGUUUUCGGAUUGUAAACUCCUUUUGUUAGAGAAGAUAAUGACGGUAUCUAACGAAUAAGCACCGGCUAAUUCCGUGACAGCAGCCGCGGUAAUACGGAGGGUGCAAGCGUUACUCGGAAUCACUGGGCGUAAAGAGCGCGUAGGCGGGAUAGCAAGUCAGAUGUGAAAUCCUAUGGCUUAACCAUAGAACUGCAUUUGAAACUGUUAUUCUAGAGUAUGGGAGAGGUAGGUGGAAUUCUUGGUGUAGGGGUAAAAUCCGUAGAGAUCAAGAAGAAUACUCAUUGCGAAGGCGACCUGCUAGAACAUAACUGACGCUGAUGCGCGAAAGCGUGGGUAGCAAACAGGAUUAGAUACCCCAGUAGUC
rnacentral:rRNA from 1 species